ensembl:lncRNA novel transcript
UACGCUGGCUGCUACCUCCCUCACUCUUGUCAGAGUCGGAGCUACAGGCAGUGCCUUCAGCUCUGAGCUCAGGCAUCCCGGUCCCUGUUUUUGCGGUUAAGGACUCUAAAGUGUUGUGUCGUGUUCAUCAACUUUUUCUCAACCUCCCUGGCUCUACCUCUUCUGCCACAAACGUCAGCAUGGUGGUAUCUGCCGACCCUUUGUCCAGCGAGAGGGCAGAGAUGAACAUCCUAGAAAUCAACCAGGAAUUGCGCUCGCAGCUGGCAGAGAGCAAUCAGCAGUUCCGAGACCUCAAAGAGAAGUUCCUUAUAACUCAAGCUACUGCCUACUCCCUGGCCAACCAGCUGAAGAAAUACAAGUGUGAAGAGUACAAAGACAUCAUAGACUCUGUGCUGAGGGAUGAACUGCAGUCCAUGGAGAAGCUGGCAGAGAAGCUCAGGCAAGCUGAGGAGCUCAGGCAGUAUAAAGCCCUGGUUCACUCUCAGGCAAAAGAGCUGACCCAGUUACGGGAGAAGUUACGGGAAGGGAGAGAUGCCUCCCGCUGGCUGAACAAGCAUCUGAAAACCCUCCUCACUCCUGAUGACCCUGACAAGUCCCAGGGUCAGGACCUCCGAGAGCAGCUGGCUGAGGGGCACAGGCUGGCAGAGCACCUUGUUCACAAGCUGAGCCCAGAAAAUGAUGAAGAUGAAGAUGAGGAUGAAGACGACAAAGACGAGGAGGUUGAGAAAGUACAGGAAUCACCUGCCCCCAGAGAGGUGCAGAAGACUGAAGAAAAGGAAGUCCCUCAGGACUCACUGGAGGAAUGUGCUGUCACUUGUUCAAAUAGUCACAACCCUUCUAACUCCAACCAGCCUCACAGGAGCACCAAAAUCACAUUUAAGGAACACGAAGUCGACUCUGCUCUGGUUGUAGAGAGUGAACACCCUCAUGAUGAAGAGGAGGAAGCUCUAAACAUUCCCCCAGAAAAUCAAAAUGACCAUGAGGAGGAGGAGGGGAAAGCGCCAGUGCCCCCCAGACACCAUGACAAGUCCAACUCUUACCGGCAUCGUGAAGUCUCUUUCUUGGCAUUGGAUGAACAGAAAGUUUGCUCCGCUCAGGAUGUUGCCAGGGAUUACUCCAAUCCCAAAUGGGAUGAAACCUCACUUGGCUUCCUCGACACACCCUUGGCCAGAAGAGAAUCUGUUGCCUUGAAGGGUAGGACUCGGUCCUGGCAGCAUUCAUCACAUGCUAACUGAAGAACCCCUAGGCCCUGAAUAACCAGUAGUGAUACCCAAGAACUAUGUCAAGAGCCUUAGGAUCCCAGCUGAAAUGGCACAUUCUAUUUGUCAUCACAUCUCCUUAGGCUCCUCUUGGCUAUGAUAGUUUCUCUUUCCCUGUUUUUGAUAACCUUGAUAGCUUCAAGGAGUGCUGAUCAGGUAAUUGGCAGAAUGCCCCUCUAGUGGAAUUUAUUCCAUAUUGCUUUUUAAUUAUUUACUUGUAUGUAUUUCUCCCAUAUUUUCCUAUGAUGUUUUGAAGGGAAAGACCAAGUCAUCUGUGUAUCUCCAACACUUAGCAUUCAAUAAAUAUCUGUUGAGUGAAUAAAUAAAUGGGUGAAAAGUGAAUAAAA